rnacentral:rRNA from 1 species
UCUUGCGCAAUGGGCGAAAGCCUGACGCAGCGACGCCGCGUGAGCGAUGAAGGCCUUCGGGUUGUAAAGCUCUGUGGGGAGGGAAGAAUAAGCCUAGGCUAAUACCUCUAGGUGAUGACGGUACCUCCUUAGCAAGCACCGGCUAACUCUGUGCCAGCAGCCGCGGUAAGACAGAGGGUGCAAACGUUGUUCGGAAUUACUGGGAGUAAAGCGCGUGUAGGCGGCUAUGCAAGUCGGGCGUGAAAGCCCACGGCUCAACCGGGGAAGUGCACUCGAAACUGCGUAGCUAGAGUCCCGGAGAGGAAGGUGGAAUACUUGGUGUAGAGGUGAAAUUCGUAGAUAUCAAGUGGAACACCGGUGGCGAAGGCGGCCUUCUGGACGGUGACUGACGCUGAGACGCGAAAGCGUGGGGAGCAAACAG